UGCCAGCCGCCGCGGUAAUACGGAGGGGGUUAGCGUUGUUCGGAAUUACUGGGCGUAAAGCGUACGCAGGCGGAUUAAUAAGUUAGAGGUGAAAUCCCAGGGCUCAACCCUGGAACUGCCUUUAAAACUGUUAGUCUUGAGAUCGAGAGAGGUGAGUGGAAUUCCAAGUGUAGAGGUGAAAUUCGUAGAUAUUUGGAGGAACACCAGUGGCGAAGGCGGCUCACUGGCUCGAUACUGACGCUGAGGUAGGAAGCUGUGUGCAGAAAACAGGAGUGGAUA
rnacentral:rRNA from 1 species